rnacentral:rRNA from 1 species
GUUCUCAAAAAAAGAAUCUUAGUCCAACCUAAAGUUAUACAAAUUUACAUAAAUUUUCCCACUCACUUUAGAGCAAUUCAAAUGAGGUACAGCCCAUUUGAUACAGGAUCCAACCUUUACUAACGGGUAAUAUCUGACUCCACCCCCAAGUAGGCUUAAGAGCAGCCACCUUUUAAAAAGCGUCAAACCUUAACGUAUUAACACCAAUUCACAACCCCCCAUCAACCCCUUUCACCCUACUGAGAACUUCUAUAACAUUAUAGAACCUUUAAUGUUAAAACUAGUAACAAGAGAUACACCCUCUCUAUAAUGCAAACUCAAACCAGCAAGAACCUAUCACUGGUGAUUAACAGAAACAAAGUAGUAACUUUCUCAAGAAAACUCUACUCCCUCAACUGUUAACCUAACACAAGAGCAUCCCAAGAAAGAUUUAAAGAAAAAGAAGGAACUCGGCAAACAUAAAUCUCGCCUGUUUACCAAAAACAUCGCCUCUUGUCACCUAUAAGAGGUCCAGCCUGCCCAGUGACUCUUGUUCAACGGCCGCGGUAUCCUAACCGUGCGAAGGUAGCGUAAUCACUUGUCUUUUAAAUAAAGACUAGUAUGAAAGGCACCACGAAGAUUAAACUGUCUCCUCUCUCCAAUCAGUGAACCUAAUCUCCCCGUGAAAAAGCGGGAAUUUUUAUAUA